UACGUAGGUGGCAAGCGUUGUCCGGAAUUAUUGGGCGUAAAGCGCGCGCAGGCGGUUCUUUAAGUCUGAUGUGAAAGCCCACGGCUCAACCGUGGAGGGUCAUUGGAAACUGGAGAACUUGAGUACAGAAGAGGAAAGCGGAAUUCCACGUGUAGCGGUGAAAUGCGUAGAGAUGUGGAGGAACACCAGUGGCGAAGGCGGCUGUGUGGUCUGUAACUGACGCUGAGGCGCGAAAGCGUGGGGAGCAAACAGG
rnacentral:rRNA from 1 species